UACGUAGGGGGCUAGCGUUGUCCGGAUUUAUUGGGCGUAAAGAGCGUGUAGGCGGCCAGGUAGGUCUGCUGUGAAAACUCGAGGCUCAACCUCGAGAUGUCGGCGGAAACCAUCUGGCUAGAGUCCGGAAGAGGAGAGUGGAAUUCCUGGUGUAGCGGUGGAAUGCGUAGAGAUCCGGAAGAACACCGGUGGCGAAGGCGGUCUGCUGGGCAGUAGCUGACACUGAUGCGCGACAGCGUGGGGAGCAAACAGG
rnacentral:rRNA from 1 species